rnacentral:rRNA from 1 species
CAAAACCUGGUUGAUCCUGCCAGUAGUCAUAUGCUUGUCUCAAAGAUUAAGCCAUGCAUGUCUAAGUGUAAGUAUUUUAAUGCGGGACUGCGAAAGGCUCAUUAACACAGUUAUUGUUUAUUUGAUUUGUCGAUUUAUCGUUUGGAUAACGGUAGUAAUUCUAGUGCUAAUACAUGCUUCAAGUGCACCCUUUGG